rnacentral:rRNA from 1 species
UACGGAGGGUGCAAGCGUUGCUCGGAAUUAUUGGGCGUAAAGCGCGUGUAGGCGGCUGGACAAGUCUGAUGUGAAAUCCUGGAGCUUAACUCCAGAACUGCAUCGGAUACUGUCUAGCUAGAGGAUGAGAGAGGAUGGUGGAAUUCCUGGUGUAGGGGUGAAAUCCGUAGAUAUCAGGAGGAACAUCGGUGGCGAAGGCGGCCAUCUGGCUCAUUUCUGACGCUGAGACGCAAGAGCGUGGGGAGCAAACAGG